rnacentral:sRNA from 1 species
GGCAUUCAUGUCACUGAGGUGGCUUCUGUCUGACUCCAAUGUCAAUAAUAAUAGCAGUGACUAACAUUAAUUGGCCACUUACCAUGUACAAGACAUCAUAGUAAGCGUUUUCUGUAAAUGAUCACACUUAAUCCUCACAGUGCUGCUAUGAGUCAGAUACUUUACAGACAACAGGACGGAAGUCAGAGAGGCCACAGGCCUAAUGAUUGGCUGCCUGGUCUACCCUGAUGGUUGGGACUCAAGUGAGGUGCGGCGCAUGUGUGGGGAGCAGACGGGCAAGUACACGCUGGGCCACUGCACCAUCCGCUGGGCCUUCAUGCUGGCCAUCCUCAGCAUUGGUGACGCCCUCAUCCUCUCCUUCCUGGCCUUCGUGUUGGGCUACCGGCAGGACAAGCUCCUCCCUGACGACUACAAGGCAGAUGGAACCGAGGAGGUGUGAAGCAGCUGAAGGGUCGGUGAGUAAUUCUAUGGGAGGGUGGUCUGCGUGCCCUUAGAAAGGCUGGGGCUCUCUGCUUCCUUACUGAAUCCUCAGGCAUCAGGACACCAGGGGCUGGGCUGUAAGGCUGUGAUGCUGCUUGGGGAGAGAGGACCAACACCCCACUGGGGCAGGAGCUAUUUGGACUCUGAGACCUUCACUGGGGAGCAAACAGGAAGCCUUUAGUUUUACCUGUGUCUUUUUUUUUUUGAGAUGGAAUUUCGCUCUUGUUGCCCAAGCUGGAGUGCAAUGGUGUGAUCUCGGCUCACUGCAACCUCCACCUCCUGGGUUCAAGCCAUUCUCCUGCCUCAGCCUCCCGAGUAGCUGGGAUUACAGGAACAUGUCUGAUUUCAGGAGUACCCAGUGAAGGAUCCGAUGAAUGGCUGGCCAGUUACUCAGAGUAAUAUGUUUAUGAGUUAAAUGGAUUGCAUAACGGCACCACUUUUCCUUUGUCACUGUGGUGGAUAAAUGACAAAGUAGAUUCCAAUCUCCUGUAUAGAAAGGUGGUUACCCAAUAGCCUCACUGGUGGCUUGCUAGCAGAGCCUCAAGUUGCACCUCUGUGGCUUUCUGUAAAUUCGAGUCCUACAGCCACUUCGAGAA